rnacentral:rRNA from 1 species
AUUGCACGCUGGCGGCAGGCUUAACACAUACAAGUCGAACGAGUGGCGGACGGGUUAGUAAUGCUUGGGAAUCUAGCUUAUGGGGGGGGAUAACUACGGGAAACUGUAGCUAAUACCGCGUACCAUAGGCUGAGCCCAAGUGGGAUUAGUGAGGUGGUAGGGUAAAGGCUCACCAUGCCGACGUUCUCUAGCUGGUCUGAGAGGAUGACCAGCCACACUGCGACGGCGACACGUCUCAGACCCCUACGGAAGGCUGCAGGGGGGAAUACUGCGCAAUGCGUGCAACCUGACGCAGCCAUGCCGCGUGAAUGAAGAAGGCCUUCGGGUUGUAAAGUUCUGUCGGUAGCGAGGCGUUAACUACAGAAGAAGCACCGGCUAAAUCCGUACCAGCAGCCGCGGUAAUUC